GUGAUAUGAAGAAAAGU
rnacentral:miRNA from 1 species